GGGAUACGAGUCACAGCCGAGAGAACACCAGAGCAAGAAGAGUUCCUAGAAAGCUCUCCCCGGUUUGUUUUAGAUUUUGCAGACCUCCAUCACCUAUCUUUCGCCGUGACAUGGUAGUAUCGCUCGAGAUUUCUUCCCCUCCGGGUAGCCAACCACUGGCGGAGAUGCUUCCGGGACUUCGAGCUCUUCGUCCGACCGUUGUUCGUGACCAUAUGCUGCAUCUCCGAGGUAAUUGUUGCAUCUCUGCUCUGGUACGUUGAGCCCGUGUUAUUUGACCGAAGUCGGAGGAAGAAAAGAAAAAACGAUACCGAUUUAGGAUGUAACGUAAGUCUAAACACACUUUGAUGCCAUCAGGAUUGUAUGGAUCUGAACUUGUGCUUCGAUGUUGCCUCUGUAUGUCCUCGCUUUCUGAUUCCCUACCUUCUCCGAUGUCCUCAGGCCCUGGCUACUGCCAAUUGUCCGUUGGCGGUGGCGGUCUCAGGCUCAGCUGCAACUGAACCGAGGCCAUUCAAACCAGAACGGAGAGAAAAUCCUCUCUCAAUCCGUGAAGUUCCCUGAAGCUUCUUCACAAACAAAGGACAGAAGUUUCUUGCACAUAAAGAUAUGAAAUAAUAAUAGAGAAGUAGAGUUCCCAUUUCAUUGGUAUGGUCUCAAUAAUGAGCUUCAGUGCUAUGCUUAAAUCGAAUUUCAUGUAGUUUAGGAUGUUGUCUUUUGUUACUUCACUGAACACUGAACACGAGUUUCUCUUGCAGUUGUACCACUGAUUCACAUGCCUCAAUUGCCAAUUGAUUUACAUUGCAACUCUUGGAAGACAAAUUUUGUGAUUUUUUAAAGUUGAUGGCAAAUGUCCAACCGUAGUUGAUUGAGGACUUCCAUCCUCCAGUGAAGUGGCGUCGGAAGAAGUAUGUCAUCGCCUGCUCUGUUGUGGCCUUCACGAGCUCCCUUUUGCUCGAUUAUGGUCAGUCCACCGAGCAAAAGGGGGGUCAUGGGGGCACGAUGGCGUAAGCAAAUGCAAACUUGUUCAGGCAUGGCUUGACUGGACGAUUGGAGGGCUCAAUCGACUGCGGUUGGAUGUUGCCAUCGACUUUAAAAUCACUGUGUAUGCCCUCCAAUCGACUCCGGUUGGAUGUUGCCAUCGACUUUAAAAUCACUGUGUAUGUCUUUUAAUAGUUGCAAGGUAAGUCAAUGGCACCUAAGGUAAGUCAAUCGUUGAUGUAUGGUUGCAAGAAAAACUUGUGUUGAGUAAAGUAACCAAAGCUAGCAUACUAAAAAGGUAAAAAGAUGAUAAAUGAUACGAGAGAACAUGAUUCCCUACAAAACAAAUUGAAAAUCUCACUAUAAAAAAGGAAGAGAAAAGCAAACUUACAUUGAUAUUUUUUUUUGCGAGCUUCUUGAAGCUCAUUAUUGCCAUUACGCUCCUUUACUAUGAUAGCUCAAUUUAGUGCUUCUACGUCCUCAAGAUUUCCCUCUUGUUACCUCAUAUUUGCUAGCAAAAUAACUAUUUUCAAAAUUGAAGUAUCAUCCACAUCUUUCACGUGCUUUGUGACAUUUAAUGAUCCUCUCAAUUGUUCAAUUUCCAAUUUCAAGGCUUGUUUGUGCAUCGAGUUGUUUUUUUACAGUAGAAUUAUUCGAUUGGAGAGUUACUCUUUUUGCCUCUGAACACCAUAAGUUUUAAAAAAUGAAGAAUAUGAAAAGAUAUGUAUUAACUUCACAGGAGAAAAAUAUAUAAGGAGAACAUCUUCUGUUAUUCAGCCAGUUUUAAGACUUUUUUUGUGACUUUUCGUUGCUUUAAGGCAGCCUAUUUAAGCGAACUAUUCCUCAGGGCAUUCUGUUAUUUUCUAAUGUAAAAGCACGUUAGCACGAGUAGCGGUUAGAGAUCCUGAUGACAAGUUAGAUUUCGAUUCAUUGUUGUCUCAUAUGUUGGUGGUGGUUCAAUCAAAAUUAUCAAAGAGUGAUUGCACAUCAUCUUUUUGAAAGAAAAUGUAGAGAAAAAGCAUUAGAUUUAUUUAGCGUAACCAAAUCUUAUUCUUAUAACAUCUCUUGUUUGUAGGAGUAAAAUAUUUUUUCACAUUUUACUUGGGUUUUCAAUUGAUCCAUAAUAAAUUAGUGGUGACUUUAAAUUAAAUUGAUUUGCAUGUUUAAUUGAUUAAAUUAAGAUCUCAAAGUUCAACCCUUAAAAAAAAAAAAAUCUCAAAGUUGCAAUUGGUAUGGGUUUGGGAGAGUUCACACUAACUAUUUGUUUAGUAAUCCAUUAGUUUUCCUUUGAUGGUUCGUAUAUGGGAAGGUCGUGACAAAUGAAAAAAAAAAAAUAACGACGGGCUUGUUAGGCAAACUUCUUACUAUUUGAAGUUGACAUAAUCAUAUAUUUCUUGUUAUUAUUUGAUAAAUGCAGAGAUUACUUAUUUCCAGUUGUGAUGAUAUAAGGAAAGCUUUAUUACCAUCCACAGCACCCAAGAUAGGUAGUGGAAAGAUGUCAAAGAGUUGGAAGGACCUGGUAAAGGACAAACAAGUCUAGGAGAAGGAGAAGUUUGUGAAAACUUGGAGAUA
rnacentral:lncRNA from 1 species